GCUUAUAGGACCGGUAGAAGUCGGGUGAUUUCCUGUCACUCGCGCGACAUAGGAAUUGUAAUGUUUACAUUCCUGUUAUCACUAUAAGGAUGACGGACGGGAGUUUGUGAGGUAUCAUGGUUGAGAUGAUACCCCGUCUGUGUUGUUGAAUUGGAUAAGGUCGCAGUGUGUGGUAGCGGUGGUUAAGCGUUUGAAAGUACUAGCCACAUGCCGUGAAAUAUGGUAAGCGGUAAGCCUAGUAACCAAUCGGCCCGAGGAGUGGAC
rnacentral:lncRNA from 1 species